UUUCUACUCUCUCCGUCCCAUAUUAAGUGACUCAAAUUUGCCAAAAUAUGGAUGUAUCUAUGCCUAGAAAACGUAUAGAUACAUGUAAUAAAAAGUCACUUAGUAUGGGACGGAGGUAGUAGUUG
rfam:Brachypodium distachyon strain Bd21 chromosome 2, whole genome shotgun sequence.